GACCCAAGACAUGGUAGCUACUAAUAUACUCUUCCCACGGUGCCUCUUAAUACCAUGCGGACUCCUACAAGGGAAAUAAGUAUCACAACUUUGGUUGAACUUGGUCUGGUCUCAGAUUUACCUGAUGGUCACCACUCACAGUUCCCGCAGAGCCCAGAGAUUUCUCCUUGAAGGAAAGGUUCUGGAAAAUCAGAGGGAUAAAUGAAGAAUGCAGCUGAUUCCCGCCUUGUGCUGACGCCCAAGAGGGUGAGGAGAGCCACGAGGCAUGUGGGAUCUUAGCUUCCUGCCCAGGGAUCAAACCGGCACCCCCUGC